rnacentral:misc_RNA from 1 species
GGAUGAAGAACGUAGCGAAAUGCGAUAAGUAGUGUGAAUUGCAGAAUUCAGUGAAUCAUCGAAUCUUUGAACGCACAUUGCGCCCCUUGGUAUUCCAUGGGGCAUGCCUGUUCGAGCGUCAUUUGUACCUUCAAGCUUUGCUUGGUGUUGGGUGUUUGUCCUGAGGGACUCGCCUUAAAGUAAUUGGCAGCCAGUGUUUGGUUUUGAAGCGCAGCACAAGUCGCGAUUCAAAGCUAUACGCCCGCUUCCACAAGCCUUUUUCACUUUUGACCUCGGAUCAGGUAGGGAUACCCGCUGAACUUAAGCAUAUCAAUAAGCGGAGGA